AGCAGCAGCACACAGCAGAAGAGCUUUGCUGUUACCAUGGUGCCAGGUCAAAUGUCAAGUUGGUCUUGCCAGUGCUUAUUUCUGGCCUCCUCCUUCUAACCGUG